rnacentral:rRNA from 1 species
GACAGAGGGUGCUAGCGUUGUUCGGAAUUACUGGGCGUAAAGGGCGCGUAGGCGGCUUGUUUAGUCGGGUGUGAAAUCCCGGGGCUCAACCCCGGAACUGCAUUCGAUACUGGCAGGCUAGAGACCGGAAGAGGUGGGUGGAAUACCCAGUGUAGAGGUGAAAUUCGUAGAUAUUGGGUGGAACACCGGUGGCGAAGGCGGGUCUCUGGGCCGAUACUGACGCUGAGGAGCGAAAGCCAGGGGAGCAAACGGG